rnacentral:rRNA from 1 species
UACGUAGGGUGCAAGCGUUAAUCGGAAUUACUGGGCGUAAAGCGUGCGCAGGCGGUUGUGCAAGACAGGUGUGAAAUCCCCGGGCUUAACCUGGGAACUGCAUUUGUGACUGCACAGCUAGAGUGCGGCAGAGGGGGAUGGAAUUCCGCGUGUAGCAGUGAAAUGCGUAGAUAUGCGGAGGAACACCGAUGGCGAAGGCAAUCCCCUGGGCCUGCACUGACGCUCAUGCACGAAAGCGUGGGGAGCAAACAGG